rnacentral:rRNA from 1 species
GCCAGCCCGCUACAGAAACUUAAGGAAUUCGCGGGGCCGCACAAGCGGUGGAGUAUGUGGUUUAAUUCGAUGCAACGCGAAGAACCUUACCUGGUCUUGACAUCCCGGAGACCCUUAGGAAACUAGGGGGUGCUUCCAUCUGGAAGAAUCUGGAGACAGGUGCUGCAUGGCUGUCGUCAGCUCGUGUCGUGAGAUGUUGGGUUAAGUCCCGCAACGAGCGCAACCCUUGCCUUUAGUUGCCAGCAGUUCGGCUGGGCACUCUAAAGGGACUGCCGGUGUUAAACCGGAGGAAGGUGGGGAUGACGUCAAGUCCUCAUGGCCUUUAUGACCAGGGCUACACACGUACUACAAUGGCCGAUACAAAGGGCAGCGACACUGCGAGGUGAAGCCAAUCCCGUAAAAUCGGUCUCAGUCCGGAUUGGAGUCUGCAACUCGACUCCAUGAAGUUGGAAUCGCUAGUAAUCGUGGAUCAGCAUGCCACGGUGAAUACGUUCCCGGGCCUU